rnacentral:rRNA from 1 species
AUUGAACGCUGGCGGCAGGCCUAAUACAUGCAAGUCGAACGAGAAAGCAUCUUCGGAUGUAAGUACAGUGGCGGACGGGUGAGUAAUACAUAGGAAUCUACCCAAUGGUGGGGGAUAGCUCGGGGAAACUCGAAUUAAUACCGCAUAAUCUCUACGGAGUAAAGGGGGCUUCGGCUCUCGCCAUCGGAUGAGCCUAUGCAGGAUUAGCUUGUUGGUAAGGUAAUGGCUUACCAAGGCAACGAUCCUUAGCUGGUUUGAGAGGAUGACCAGCCACAUCGGGACUGAGACACGGCCCGGACUUCUACGGAAGGCAGCAGUAGGGAAUAUUGGACAAUGAGCGAAAGCUUGAUCCAGCCAUGCCGCGUGUGUGAUGACGGCCUUCGGGUUGUAAAGCACUUUAGGUAAUGAGGAAAAAUUAGAUGUUAAUACCACCUAAUCAUGACGUUAAUUACAGAAUAAGCACCGGCUAAAUCCGUGCCAGCCGCCGCAGUAAAAC